rnacentral:rRNA from 1 species
GCUAAACGCGAAGAACCUUACCGGGGCUUGACAUCUUUCUGACCGCCUGGGAAACCAGGUCUUCUUCCUUCGGGAAGACGGAAAGACAGGUGGUGCAUGGUUGUCGUCAGCUCGUGUCGUGAGAUGUUGGGUUAAGUCCCACAACGAGCGCAACCCUUGUCCUUAUUUGCCAGCCUGUUUACAGGCGUACUUUAAGGAGACUGCCGUAGAUAAUACGGAGGAAGGUGGGGAUGACGUCAAAUCCUCAUGCCCCUUACGUCCCGGGCUACACACGUGCUACAAUGGUCUGUACAGAGGGUAGCCAAGAAGCAAUUCGGAGCCAAUCCCAAAAAGCAGGCCCCAGUUCGGAUCGGAGUCUGCAACUCGACUCCGUGAAGUCGGAAUCGCUAGUAAUCGCGGAUCAGCUAUGCCGCGGUGAAUACGUUCCCGGGUCUUGUACACACCG